GCUCAAAUUUGAAAUCUGGCGUCUUUGGCGUCCGAGUUGUAAUUUGAAGAAGGUAUCUUUGGGCCCGGCUCUUGUCUAUGUUCCUUGGAACAGGACGUCACAGAGGGUGAGAAUCCCGUGCGAUGAGAUGACCCGGGUCUGUGUAAAGUUCCUUCGACGAGUCGAGUUGUUUGGGAAUGCAGCUCUAAGUGGGUGGUAAAUUCCAUCUAAAGCUAAAUAUUGGCGAGAGACCGAUAGCGAACAAGUACAGUGAUGGAAAGAUGAAAAGAACUUUGAAAAGAGAGUGAAAAAGUACGUGAAAUUGUUGAAAGGGAAGGGCUUGAGAUCAGACUUGGUAUUUUGCAUGCUGCUCUCUCGGGGGCGGCCGCUGCGGUUUACCGGGCCAGCAUCGGUUUGGAGCGGCAGGAUAAUGGCGGAGGAAUGUGGCACGGCUUCUGCUGUGUGUUAUAGCCUCUGACGAUACUGCCAGCCUAGACCGAGGACUGCGGUUUUUACCUAGGAUGUUGGCAUAAUGAUCUUAAGUCGCCCGUCUUGA
rnacentral:rRNA from 1 species